rnacentral:rRNA from 1 species
GAUGAACGCUGGCGGCGUGCUUAACACAUGCAAGUCGAACGGUGAACGAGGGAGCUUGCUCCCUCCGGAUCAGUGGCGAACGGGUGAGUAACACGUGAGCAAUCUGCCCUGGACUCUGGGAUAAGCGUUGGAAACGACGUCUAAUACCGGAUACGAGGCGUGGGGGCAUCCCCAACGCCUGGAAAGAACUUCGGUCCAGGAUGAGCUCGCGGCCUAUCAGCUAGUUGGUGAGGUAACGGCUCACCAAGGCGACGACGGGUAGCCGGCCUGAGAGGGUGACCGGCCACACUGGGACGGAGACACGGCCCAGGCUCCUACGGGGGGCAGCAGUGGGGAAUAUUGCACAAUGGGCGCAAGCCUGAUGCAGCAGCGCCGCGUGAGGGACGACGGCCUUCGGGUUGUAAACCUCUUUUAGCAGGGAAGAAGCGAAAGUGACGGUACCUGCAGGAAAAGCACCGGCUAACUACGUGCCAGCAGCCGCCGUAAUAC